UUGGAACUGGCUCGGGUACAGGCUUAAUUGUUGGAGUAGGUAGAGGUUUUUUUAGUGAAGGAAUUGGCUUUGGUAUAGGCUUAAUUGCUGGAAUAGGUAGAGGCUUUUUCACUAUUGGAAAUGGCUUUGGGAUAGGCUUGAAUACUGGAAUGGGAAUUGGCUUAAUAAUUGGGACAGGCUUGAAUACUGGAAUGGGAAUUGGCUUAAUAAUUGGGACUGGCUUGGGUAUAGGCUUAGUUACUGGAAUAGGUAGAGGCUUUUUCACUAUUGGAAUUGGUUUGGGGAUGGGCUUGAACACUGGAAUAGGAAUGGGCUUAACAAUGGGAAUUGGUUUUGGUAUAGGCUUUGUUACGGGAAUAGGUAGAGGCUUUUUCACCAUUGGUGUUGGCUUUGGAAUUGGCUUAACAACUGGAACUGGAUUAGGUAAAGGCUUUGUUACUGGAAUAG
rnacentral:lncRNA from 1 species